rnacentral:rRNA from 1 species
GAGACCUCAGGUCAGGCGGGGCUACCCGCUGAGUUUAAGCAUAUCAAUAAGCGGAGGAAAAGAAACUAACAAGGAUUCCA